rnacentral:rRNA from 1 species
AAUGAACGUUGGCGGCGUGGAUUAGGCAUGCAAGUCGAGCGAGAACCCCGCAAGGGGGGACAGCGGCGAAAGGGACAGUACUGUGUAGAUUAUCUGCCCUCAGGUCCGGGAUAGCUGCGGGAAACUGCAGGUAAUACCGGAUAACAUCUCCGGAUCAAAGGUGUGAUUCCGCCUGAGGAUGAGUCUGCAUCCUAUUAGCUAGUUGGUGGGGUAAUGGCCUACCAAGGCAUUGAUGGGUAGCAGGUGUGAGAGCACGACCUGCGUCAUUGGGACUGAGACACUGCCCAGACACAUACGGGUGGCUGCAGUCGAGAAUCUUCGGCAAUGGGCGCAAGCCUGACCGAGCGACGCCGCGGGUGGGAUGAAGGCCUUCGGGUUGUAAACCACUGUCAGAGGGGAUGAAAUGCAGGUGGGUUCUCCCAUCUGUUUGACAUAGCCUCAGAGGAAGGACGGGCUAAGUUCGUG